rnacentral:snRNA from 1 species
GGAUGUGAGGGCCAUCUGGCUGUGACAUCUGUCACCCCAUUGAUCGCCAGGGUUGAUUCGGCUGAUCUGGCUGGCUAGGCAGGUGUCCCCUUCCUCCCUCACCCUCCAUGUGCGUCCCUCCCGAAGCUGUGCGCUCGGUCGAAGAAGACGGCCUUCCCCGAAUAGAGACGGGGAAGGGCAUACGGUCGAGGGCAUACGAGUAGCUGCACUUCCCUACUAGAACCUCCAAACAAGCUCUCAAAACAUACAUUGGGGGCUUGGGCAGUAGUGCACCAUGCUAAACGCACAUGGCGUGAAGUGCA